GGAUAAAUUACAUGCUAACACAAAAUGGUUUCAGAAUUUAAAAGGACCAUUCCACACCCUAUUACUGUAAAAACAUCAAUUGUAUAUUGUAGUGAAAGGAAAAAUCAAUUGCAUAAUAAAGCAGGAAAUGAUAAUAUUAAGUUAGAAAGGAAAUUUCAUCAGCCAAGAAAGAAUGGCUCAUCUUCAAAGCUUACUUUUAUAUUGGCUUUGAGAUAAAAAUCAAAUCCAAAACAAGCAAUACAUAAAGAAAUCCAAAGCCCAACACUGAACUAUCAAAAGAAAGCAGUAAAUGGAAAUAUGCUAGUACACAUUCCGCUAAAUCCCUUUGCAUGAGCGCAAACAAGGGGAGAGAACUACAUCAGCCUGUCGGUAACCAGCAUGAAUGAUGAACGAUCUUUAAACUAAUCCAAAAACUACAUGAACCAACUUAUGAAUAAAAUAAAAAUUGAAGCCUCCAAGAAGUAACAGAUAAUUAUUCUUCCACUGAAAUCAAAGAUAUCCUCCCUCAGACAUCAAUCAAAUCAAGUUAUAAACACCUAAAUCACGGCAGGAUGUUGAAUAGGCAUAAAUAACUGAGGUGUUGCAGCAACCUCGGAAAGCUUCACAGGAUCCCCAUCUCAUCCAUGAGUAUUAACAGCUUCCCAAACUAAAUUCUUUGGAACUGGAUUUGCAAGAUCCCUAGCCUGCAAGGCUGCAGCCCUAAGAGUCCGAAUUGUCAUGAGAUUAGCAUUCCAGAAUGAUGCACUAUCAUAAAGCAAAUUAUGCUUCUUGCAUAGCUCCUUAACAAACGGUGAGAUUUUUCUAAGAUGGCAUCGAGGCAAACGGGGGAACAGAUGGUGCUCAACCUGAAACUGCAAUCCACCAUGAAACCAAUCCAUCCAGGAAGAGCAAUUUAUAUUGAGUGUGCCCUUUGUUUGCAUCUCAAACCAAUCAUUCCCAUUAGGGGGACCAACAUAAACAUUGGAUGAGAAAUGAUUCAAACAGAACUGAACAUGCUGAAUAGAAGUGACUAUGAAACUGGCAAGAACAAACAUCACUCUCUCUCCCCAGUUGGGCAAGCAAGAAACAAGUAAAGGAUACCAAAUCCAAAACACAAGUACUCCCAAAAUCUCUUGACCCCUAUUGACAACCCUUCUCUUAGAUACCAAGAGCAAGAAAGACUGUGCAAACAAAUUAAUCCUGGCAAAACACAUAACAGGAUAAAAAGUCCAAUGCUGAUAACUAACCAAGAACCUAGCAACGGAAUCGAAAUUCAUCUUUCUUUCAUAAAAAUAAGACGUAAUUGAACUGAAAAAUUUCGAAGAUACCGCGAAGAAAGGCAUGUGCUGCAGAUCUGGAUCGAAAUCAAGACUGUUACAAGCAAUGUGAUGGGCGUUGUGGUUCCAUUUCCACCACCCAAUACUGAUCCCUGCAAGGCAAUUGCCAGUUAAGAUCUGCACAGCACGAUUGAAUUCAGGGCUUGUCAUGACCUGAUAAUGCCCAGAAUCAUGUCCAAUCCACCCACUCUGUAUCCACAAAAACCCUAUUAAACCACCACAAAACAGAUGCACCCAUGUGCUAUUGGAGUAUAAAAUCCCAUAAACACUCAAAGCAAACAGCACUGCCAUGAAGCAUAGAGAAAUAAACGUAAUAUGCCCUUUCUUUUCAAAAAGACCCAUUUUUGAGAACUCAGCAACCAAUUUUCGAUAAUCUUUCGAUACCUCAGAAACAGAGUAGUCUUUAAGAUGAUACCCAGUAAAGAAUUUGUCGAGAUACUUCCAAACAGUACCAGGAUGAUAAGCAACGAAGGCGUCUGUAGCAUCUUGGCCAGCGAGUAGAAGCAAUGGAAGCUCACCUCCAGGGUGGACCAUGGACCAGUCAGUUACAUUAUAGAUCUUGCCCUGUAUCAAGAUCCAUAGAUCCCCAGGCUUAUUGUGCUUGUGAAGCUCUUCUUUUGAAAUGUACUUCUUUGGCUCAGCCAUGGCAGCAGGAAUGAGCUAAACAGAAGAUCUGUCAAAAAGCUAGCUUUCACCCUCUCCUUCUCUGUUCCUUUCACAACUCAGAAAGGGGAGAGAUAUUUUUGAGAAGAGGGGCUAAUUGGCUCCAGCAUGAGAAAGGCCAUAUAUUAUUAUAUAGCUGUUUCUGUGUACAAUUUCUUGUCUUGCGGGAAGGAGAUCCAGUGGAAAUGGUAUAUGAAUUGUCUUGUACCAAAGUAUGGGUGGGAUUGAACAAGCUCCACAUGAUUUGUGUAAACAACAAAGCCAACCAAUAGGAAAUAAGAUAGGGAUGCAAUAGAGAGAGGGAAA
rnacentral:misc_RNA from 1 species